rnacentral:lncRNA from 1 species
GGAGACACAAAGCACGGUUCACAAAGGGGGCCCGAGAGGGGCGAAGGGGGCUGCCCGGGGCACGGCUCAUCCCCACACCUGCGCGCGGGUUGGGGGAAGAAUGUGGCCGGCGCAUUCCUCUGCUGGGGCCAGCGGGGGAGAACUUCCCACGUCGAGACUGGGUGAGGGGCUCAGCCAUCCGGCAUCUCGGAGGAGGGGGUCAAGGUAAGCAGUGGCUACCGGACAAGGGGCUGGAUGUCAUAGGCGCUCUGCUGCCCAGCCUUCUCCGUCAGCCACCACCCCCAAUCCCAGCCCCCGAGGCGCGUUCUGCGCCUCCCCGGGAACUGAGGUGGCGCCAGGAGUCCCUUGCCCCGGCCCGAACACCCCUCGCGCGGUCCACACCAAAAUGGUCACGUGCGGCCCCUACCCUGCGGUUCCACCCUGAGGAUCUUACCUUUCCCCAGCGCCUGGCCGGGCUCCUGCUCCGCGCCUCCCGCCUCCAAGGUCACUUCAGCCUCCCUGAAGACCGCCCGGCACGGCUCGGAGGCCGCGCACUGCAGCCAGCAAACCUGCGCCCGAGGGCAGAGAGUGAAGGAGGCUGGGUCCAGGCGUGCCCGGCCCUGCACUCCCCACACCGCAGGGUCCUCACGGGCCUUCCGGGACUCCCUUGGCCCCAGGGAGCGCAGCCCCGCGCUCUCCCCGACGCCACUGCCCCAUGCGGACCCCGCCCGCCCCCCAGGGAGCGGUCCCGGUCGGGGCCACGGCGAGGCUGUGGAGUACCUGGAGAAGGAGGAGAGACGCGAGAGGUCCACGAGGGAGCCCCAUGGCUGCAGAGAGAGGGGUGAAGCAGCUGCCGCGACGGCGGGCCGGUGUUCCGCUCAGCUCUUGCCCCUUUGAGCACCGCAGCCCCCGGGAGCCAGCGGGAGGAGGCCAGGGACUCAGCCUCUGUCUCGCAGUUCUGGGUUAGAGGAGAAAAGAACACCCAGUGCACUCCUCAG